rnacentral:tRNA from 1 species
GCGUAUCAAAAUAACCUAGUUAAUUAGGGUUUAAAGUUAGCAUGACUCANACUUCAGAUUAUCACUUGAUCUUUAAGCUCGCUAAUGAGAUUCAGAAGUCUUACUGAGUGUAAAUCAAGAUGAUAGUCAUGAUAUUACAAGUGAUAACGGUCCAUGUAUCAAAUCUUUUAUUACACGCAAUGUGUCGAUAUCCGCGCCUUUGCUAAACAUAUCUUUAAGUAANUAUGCUUUAGGACAAUAGCAGGGCGCUUUGUACUGCAAUUCACUUAAAAAACUUAAAACACAUAAAGAAUCUGGUGAUUUUAUGCGCAAUUAUCACGUUCACUCUAUGACACGGAGUCCGGAGUGCUCUGGAAUUCCGGAUUCCAUGCUUCUGCAUUCCAGAUUCCAAACUCCUGGGUUCCGGAUCGACUGCUAUAAAAAAAUCGCAAGGACGCUGGAUUUCAUCAUACUUAAAUCAUUUUUUUUUUCUAAUUUGAAUCCCGAACUCCUUGUAAACUGUGCCAGGAAAUAUUGUUAACGUGAACACGAAGGAAUUAUAUCGUCAAACUAUUGGUUUGCAGCUGGAGAUCGCUUUUACACUUUAACAUGAUUUAAAAAAAAAUAAUUUUACGCUUUACAUAGCUUUACAUAGAAUUUAUAAUAACUUUUAAAUUAGUGUAAGUAAGCUGAAAUUUAAAUUGAAUUGAAAUUCUAAACCUAUUCUAGGGUAUCAUCUAAAAGUAAACGAUCAAUUCUCAUUACAUUUACAUACUUUUCUUUAAAAAGAGGAAAUAUUACACAAUAUGUGAAAAAAAGUAUCUUACUAAUGUGCAAUGAAAUUAAAGGAGAAGAAAAAGUAAAAAAAGAAACAGACAUGAAAAGAAAAAAAUAACGUCGCGAGCAGGAUUUGAACCUGCGCGGGGAGACCCCAUUAGAUUUCUAGUCUAACGCCUUAACCACUCGGCCAUCGCGACUUACAUGUAAUACACUUUCAACCUUUAGUGUUUUAAUGUUAUGAUUUCUUUUUAUCAAACUAGAGUUGCAUUUUGCCGGAGUAUAAAAACUUUCUCUUUAAAUUUCAAAAGCNUAAACCACAUUUAUUACUGACUUUACACAAAGAAAGUACUUUAAGCUUUUUUUUGUUCAUCGAAAUGAUGCGGACAUAGGAAGCCAAGAAUGUUCUUCAAGAGGGCGAAAGUAAGUCAAUCGAUUUAUAUUCGUAGUUGCUAUCCAAGACAGUUGCUCUAAUAAUAACUUUUCAAGCAUUCUUUUAAGUAAUCUUCAGCACUCAAAUAUUGAAAUGCUGAAAUAUCAUCUUGAAUAGAAAACGCGUUCUGAUUGGCUCGAUGGCUAAGAUAAAUCCGCUGGCGCGAAAUUCGAUGACUCGCAAUUUCCCAAAAUGNCGGACGUAACAUCACGAAUUGGGACUGUUUAUCGACGUGUUUUAUGGAGAUAUAAGACUGUACAAGAAGCACACUAGUCAAUUUUCAAGUCACGAAUUAUCCAUNCAAGAUGUUGAAUGAAACCGAGGAAUGUUACCAUCUCAUCGCCAGCNUCACUACUCAUCAUUGACUCUACAUCUGUCUCAUACCCAUCAAGAACAACAUAGUCAUCCAAUGAC